GGAAAGGAAGAAGAAAGGGUAAAUAAAUGUACCAAGAUGAAUAAGGUUUUGAGUAGGAACAAUCCUACAAAUAACUUGCAAGAUGUGUGACCUGAAUGAGGGCCUCAAAAAGUCUAAGCCACCCCAAAGCUUGGAUGACAGACUUGUAGACCCUGAAGCUGAUGGUGACAAAGAGGAGAGCCAGGAUGAUGUAAGAAGCCACAGUGAUGAUGCUGAAAUCUCCAGGGUAAGUAGCACUAUCAGUGUGG
rnacentral:lncRNA from 1 species